UACGGGGGGAGCAAGCGUUGUUCGGAUUUACUGGGCGUAAAGGGCGCGUAGGCGGUCGUGACAAGUCACUUGUGAAAUCUCCGGGCUUAACUCGGAACGGUCAAGUGAUACUGUCGUGCUAGAGUACAGAAGGGGCAACUGGAAUUCCGGGUGUAGCGGUGGAAUGCGUAGAGAUCCGGAAGAACACCGGUGGCGAAGGCGGCCUGCUGGGCAGUUGCUGACACUGAGGCGCGACAGCGUGGGGAGCAAACAGGG
rnacentral:rRNA from 1 species